GCGAUUGGUAGUUGGUCUGUAUGAUGACAGCUAAAGGAAAAAAUGCAAUUAUUCAAAAUUAUGAGGAAAUCCAGGCACUGUGGCUCAUGCCCGUAAUCCCAGCUACUCUGGUGGCUGAGGCAGGAGAAUUGCUUGAGGCCAGAAGUUCAAGACUAGCCUGGCCAACAUAGGAGACCCUGUCUCUAAAUAAAAAUAAAUUUAAAAAUAAAAAAUAAAAUAAUGAAGGAAAAAAUGGUUGGAAAACAAAGGAUGCAGACCAACUCACUUCAUGCCAUGUUCCUUCUUAAGGUGAGAGACAGGUCCUAGAUGAGAAGAAUUUUAUUCACAUAAGACUGACCACUACACUAUAAUAAAAGAGUUAAUUUUUAUGUUCAGUUUUUUAUUCUCUCAGUUGCCAGAGAUGGGGGGAAAUCACAUUAAGUGCUGGCAGCCAGGUUUUGUCAUGAGAACAAGGCAUCGAAGGGCGAAGUCCGUGAAUGAUCUUGGGAAAUGUGUGUCACCCUGACCUUUAGAGACGACUGCAUCCUGAUUGGCUGCCUAUGCCGCCCUCUCCCCGGGAGUCGGGAGGGUUGUAAAUACAGAAGAAAUGGAAAGGCAGAGGGAGAAAUAGCUGCCUCAUUCCCUCUUGCUGGAGAAAAAAAAAAAAAGCAAUAGGUGUUUAAUCUGCAAGGGAGAUGAAUUUCCUAUCUAACCCAAGGAGAUGUGGGACAGCUCCGGGGUAAAGAUUGAUAGAACUGUCUGAUGUCAGAGCAGCCACAGGCCAUAAAUAAUCCAGUCCAACCCCCUGGCUUUACAGAUGAAUCAGGCCCAGAGACGCCAGGCGACUUGAGCAAGGCCACUCAGCUGUCAAGAGCCCGGGUAGAAAUCAGUGCCCUUUCUGCUACACCAUUCUGAACGGCUCCAGCCACCUGCUUGCCUCAAGGAUCCCAGUUUGCUCUGUCUUCCCUUUCUCUUCUUCCUUCUCCUCUUACAAUGUUCAAUAAUAAUUGGCAAUGUACAAAUCAGACUCUCAGGACUUCAGAGGCAAGGACCAGGCUGAAUUUUUCUGAUCCUAGCAAAGGUGGAUUCCUUGAAGAAAGCUGCCUUUCAAUCUAAAGUUCUGAAGGAUUCCAGUGAUUUUGCAACCUGCAGGCUUUGGCUUGGAAGGACUUACAGCCGAUUUCACAAACUUUCAAAGCCUUAAGGAGCAGUGAUGGAGCAUUGGUCAGCAGUUUCGUGAAUGACGCUACAUUCUCUUAUUUUCCAAAUGACCUAACCCCACAGCACAGAAUCUGCUGGAUUUGGUGUCUGUAAAGACUUACCAGCCAGGCACAGUGCCUCAUUCCUGUAAUCCCAGCACUUUGGGAGGCCAAGGAGGGAGGACCACUGGAGGCCUGGAGUUCAAGAGCAGCCUGGGCAAGAUAAUGAGACCCUAUCUCUACAAAAAAAUUAAAAACUAUCCAAGUGUGGUGGUGCAUGCCUGUAGCCCCAGCUACUUCAGAGGCUGAGGCAAGAAGAUUACUUGAACCCGGGAGUUUGAGGCUGCAGUGAGCUAUAAUCACAGCACUGCACUGCAGCCUGGGCCACAGAGUUGAGACCCUAUCUAUCAGGAAGGAAGGAAGGAAGGAAGGAAAGAAGGAAGGAAGGAAGGAGGGAGGGAGGGAAGGAGGGAGGAAGAAAGGAAUGAAGGAAGAGGACUUCCAUCCAAGGAUAGAUUUCCUCAUUUUACGAAGUCCACCUCAUUCCCUUUACCUCUUUCUUGGGCAACCUCCUCUACCCUAGCAUCAAGCAUUUAUCAGAUUCCUAUAAUUUCAUCAAAUGCAGGCACUUAUCAGGUUUACAAAAAAUAGUCUAUCUUGGAGAGCUUCCAAUGUGAUGUUGAGGCAGAGCAACUGUGUUUAAGGGCAACUCAAGACUAGCCCACCUGAAAGGUUCCCACACCCAAACUAACCUGCAGGUACAAAUGAAGUCACAUCAGUUAUGAAUACCCAGGUUUUGAUGACUCACAGCCCCCACCAACAAAACUGCAGGACCUUGAGGGCCUCCCACCCUGCAGUGGGCUCAGGGGCUCACUCCCUUGUGCUAAUAGAGUCUUUCUCUGCAGCUACCUGUGGUCCAGGGCCUGAAAAACCACUUAGAGUCAUCACUUCCCCAUUGCCUGUAAUCCCAGCACCACUUUGGGAGGCCAAGGAGAGAGGAUCCUGAGCAGCUGGGGCAACAGGCAUGCACUACCACACUUGGAUAAUUUUUAAUGAUUUAGUAAAGAGGUGGUCUCGCUAUCUUGCCCAGCCUAUGAAUGCUGCCCUAUUGCUUCAUUGCACCGCUCCUUAAAGAAAGUUUGUGAAAUCAGAUCUGAGUCCUUCCGAGUCAAAGCCUGCAGGUUGCAAAAUCACUGGAAUCCUUCAGAACUUUAGAUUGUGGCCAUAUGAAAGGCAGCUUUCUUCAAGGAGAGGUGGGGUAGCGGAGUAGUCACUUAUGCCUUGGUCUGGCUGGGUGAAUCUGCAUUUUUACACAAACAAUAGGGCAGAGGAAGCAAUCAGAUGUGCAUUUGUUUCAGAUGAGCCGAGGGAUGACUUUGAGUUCUGUCCUUUGUCCUGCACCUGUGAAGAUAAGCUAUCAAUUUACAUUGCCAGAGUGAAAUUCAACAGAACUGUUUUAGUGUAAAGAUCUUGAGGCCCACAAGGAACUUCCUAGUAGGCAAAUUGUGAGGGAGAUAUGAAGAUUUUUAAAAAUCUUUGUAACUGUCUUAUUUAGGAAUAGAAUGAGAGGCAGGUGUGCCUGAUGCAGUUCCCAGCUUGAUUUUUCCCUUUGGCUUAGUGAUUUGGGGGUCCUGAGAUUUAUUUGCCUUUCACAUUGGCAUGAGGAGAAAAAAAUCUAUUGAAUUGUCUUGAGUAGGCAUCCCUCUUCUGGACUUUAAUUUGUGCAGGAGGGGACACUGGUAUUGGUUAUCCCACCCAGCCAAGCUUGGGGUAUAAUUGAUUUUUGGUCUUUGGGUUUCUAAAUCAGUCUUAUGACCUCAUUAAAAAAUGAAUGAGGGCCAGGUGCAGUGGCUCAUGCCUGUAAUCCUAGCACUUUGGGAGGCCAAGAUGGAUGGAUCGUUUGAGGUCAGGAGUUCAAGACCAGCCUGGCCAACAUGGCGAAACCCUGUCUCUACUGAAAAAAUAUAAAAAUUAGCUGGGCAUCAUGGCACAUGCCUGUAAUCCCAGCUACUCAGGAGGCUGAGGCAGGAGAAUCACUUGAACCCAAGAGGUAGAGGCUACAGUGAGCCCAGAUUACGCCGCUGUACUCCAGCCUAGGUGACAGAGCAAGACCUUGCCUCAAAAAGAAAAAACAAAAGACAAAACAAACAAACAAAGAAACAAACUGAAUGAGUCCCCCCAGAACCUCUGGGCAGGUGAAAAAAAAAAUUAGUUUUUAGACCUACAAACUUAUGAAUCAGAUUCUGACCAAAUUCCUGCCUAUGAGGUCCUACAAGCAGUAGGUCAGAGUCUUCCCAAACCCCUCUGAGCCAUAGCCAGCCAUAUGCAUCAAAUGGUUUUCAUGUUUGUUGAAUGAACACAUGGAUGAAUGAAUGAGCAAAUGAAAAAACAGAUUACUGGCUGGUUGGCUAGUUGAAUAGAUGAACAGAAGGAUGAAAAGAACCAUUUGAUAUAAUACUUGUCCCCUGAAAAUCUCAAGCUGAAAUGUGAUCCCCAGUGUUGGCAGUAGGGCCUGGUGGGUGGUGUUUGGGUCAUGGGGACAGACUCCUUAUGAAUGGCUUGGUGGCCUCCCUGUCGUAAUGAGUGAGUUCUUGCUCUAUUUGUUCACACAAGAGCUGGUUGUUUAAAAAUGCCUGGCCAAACAUUGUUGGUGGGAGUGUAAAUUAGUUCAACCAUCGUGGAAGACAGUGUGGUGAUUCCUCAAGGAUCUAGAACUAGAAAUACUAUUUGAUCCAGCAAUCCAAUUACUGGGUAUAUACCCAAAGGAUUAUAAAUCAUUCUGCUAUAAAGACACAUGCACACAUAUGUUUAUUGCAGCACUAUUUACAGUAGCAAAGACUUGGAACCAACCCAAAUGCCCAUCAAUAACAGACUGGAUAAAGAAAAUGUAGCACAUAUACACCAUGGAAUACUAUGCAGCCAUAAAAAAGAAUGAGUUCAUGUCCUUUGCAGGGACAUGGAUGAAGCUGGAAGCCAUCAUUCUCAGCAAACUAACACAGGAACAGAAAACCAAACACUGCAUGUUCUCACUCAUAAAUGGGAGUUGAACAAUGAGAACACAUGGACACAGGGAGGGGAGUUGUGGCCUGUUGUAGGGUGGGGGGCAAGGGGAGGGAGAGCAUUAGGACAAAUACCUAAUGCAUGUGGGCUUAAAACCUAGGUGAUGGGUUGAUAGGUGCAGCAAACCACCAUGGCACAUGUAUACCUAUGUAACAAACCUGCAUGUUCCGCACAUGUAUCCCAGAACUUAAAGUAAAUUAAAAAAAAAUGCCUGGCAGUGUCUCUUGCUCCCUUUCACACCAUGUGGCACACCUGCUCCCCUUCCCCUUCUGCCAUGAGUAAAAACUUCCUGAGGCCUCACUAGAGGCCAAGCAGAUGCUGGAGCCAUGCUUGUACAGUCUGCAGAACUGUGAGCCAAAUAAA
rnacentral:lncRNA from 1 species